rnacentral:rRNA from 1 species
GACGAACGCUGGCGGCGUGCUUAACACAUGCAAGUCGAACGGAAAGUCCCUGCUUUUGUGGGGUGCUCGAGUGGCGAACGGGUGAGUAACACGUGAGUAACCUGCCCUUGACUUUGGGAUAACUUCAGGAAACUGGGGCUAAUACCGGAUAGGAGCUCCUGCUGCAUGGUGGGGGUUGGAAAGUUUCGGCGGUUGGGGAUAGACUCGCGGCUUAUCAGCUUGUUGGUGGGGUAGUGGCUUACCAAGGCUUUGACGGGUAGCCGGCCUGAGAGGGUGACCGGCCACAUUGGGACUGAGAUACGGCCCAGACUCCUACGGGAGGCAGCAGUGGGGAAUAUUGCACAAUGGGCGGAAGCCUGAUGCAGCAACGCCGCGUGCGGGAUGACGGCCUUCGGGUUGUAAACCGCUUUCGCCUGUGACGAAGCGUGAGUGACGGUAAUGGGUAAAGAAGCACCGGCUAACUACGUG